AUUGAACGCUGGCGGCAUGCCUUACACAUGCAAGUCGAACGGCAGCACGGGUGCUUGCACCUGGUGGCGAGUGGCGAACGGGUGAGUAAUACAUCGGAACGUACCUUAUCGUGGGGGAUAACGCAGCGAAAGUUGCGCUAAUACCGCAUACGCCCUGAGGGGGAAAGCGGGGGACCGUAAGGCCUUGCGCUAUACGAGCGGCCGAUGUCAGAUUAGCUAGUUGGUAGGGUAAAGGCCUACCAAGGCGACGAUCUGUAGCGGGUCUGAGAGGAUGAUCCGCCACACUGGGCCUGAGACACGGCCCAGACUCCUACGGGAGGCAGCAGUGGGGAAUUUUGGACAAUGGGGGCAACCCUGAGCCAGCCAUGCCGCGUGAGUGAAGAAGGCCUUCGGGUUGUAAAGCUCUUUCGGCCGGGAAGAAAUCGCACAGGCUAAUACCCUGUGUGGAUGACGGUACCGGCAUAAGAAGCACCGGCUAACUACGUGCCAGCCGCCGCCGUAA
rnacentral:rRNA from 1 species